CCCCAUUCCAAAUGGCAUAAAUCGAAGUGAAUAACAGCCCGUGAUGUCAAGAUAGAUGAGACUUUUCAUAUGCUUCAUACCUCUAGGUAAUUGGAUGAGCUGUGUACACUGACUCAGAUUUAGUGUCUGAAGAUUUUGGAGGGAGGUGGUUGAUGCAGGCAAUUUUUUAAUGUUGGAAUUGGAGACAUCUAGAAACCUUAGAUGUUUCAAAUAACAAAUUGACUUUGGCAAUGUAUUGAGAUAGAUACCUAUAUGCAAGGCUCUCAGAUGCUUUUGUUGGGUGAAAUAAAGAUGCAAAUCAUCACUCACAGUGUGAUGAUAAACUCCAGAAAGCAAAAUUGAGCGUAGUGACCGAGAUUUGAAAUCCUUGUCUUUUGGAACAAACUGUGAUGUCCUGUAUGCACCCACAUGACGAAUUGUUUUAGGAAUUUGCAACUUUGUAUUGCCCUCAAUCAAACAACAUUCUCUCUUCAUAAUGUACUGUGCAAGAUCAUGGAUAAGAUCGUGCAUUUUACAUGAUAUGUUGCCCAGCCCAUCAUCCAUGACUUCUUGAAAAAAAGACCUCCCAACUAAUUCGUGGAAAAUCUCUUCACCCUUAUCGUGCAAAUCCAUUUGCCCAAUGCACGAAAUGAAGCCAUUUGCCAUCCAUAGAGCUACCAACCGCUCCUUCCGAAUGACAUAAUCUUUGGGGAAUAUAGAGCAAAAUGCAAAGCAUUGCUUCACAGCUGGCUUUAGAUUCAUAUAACUCAAACUCAAGGCAGGUAAUAUCUGGCUUCCUUCAUUCGGCAGAUCCCAAAUCUCACUUUCUUUCACAGACAGCCACUCCCUUUCAAUUUUCUUCGAGCGCAUCAGGCUUCCGACUGCUCUUAUAGCCAACGGAACUCCGCUACACUUGUUAACUAUCGCUGCUCCAAUGUUUUCCAAGUGACCAUACUCCUCUCUCCUUCUCAUACCAAAUGCAAGCUGCUUAAAUAAAAGCCAGGAAUCCUCAUCCGACAAUGUUUCCAUAUGUUGAACAGGAUUUGUGGCCAUUUUUUCUGCCAUAGUUCCCAAACGAGUAGUCACAAUAACUGCACUUCCUUUAGCUCCACAACUCAAUGCAUCUUUCAACUUGCUCCAGUUAUCAUGGUCAUCAUCCCAAACAUCAUCCAAUAUGAGCAAAAACUUCGUACCACGUAACUUUUCUUGGAGGCAUCGUAGAAGAGCAUCCAACUGUUGAAUAUUUGGAGUAGUGCGUUGAAUGGACUCGAUGAUGGCUGUUGUCAAUCUUUUUAUGUUGAAAUCAACUGAUACGCACACCCAAAUCCGCAAAUCAAAAUGCCCUUCUAUUCUUCCGUCGUUGUAGACUAAUUGAGCAAGUGUUGUUUUACCCAAGCCCCCCAUUCCACAUAUAGCAUAAACAGAGAAAUCAUCUGAACUGGUGAGCAGCAUGUUGACCAGAUCUUCUUUCUCCUUGCCCCUUCCAUAAAUUUCUGAUUCAUUCACCCAUGACCAAGUCUGACGCCAAUCAAAACUAUCUGCUUCUAUCUCCAAAGCCCCUUCUAUUAAAUGGAAAUUGUGUCUCUCCUUGGCAAUGGCAUCUAGUUUUUCUCUAACAUUCUUCAAUUUAUGCACCAUUUUUUGUCGAAAAACAAGUGGAUUAUGAUUGAUAGAAAAGAAGGAACUAACUCGAUAUUUGAGAUCUCUUGGCUGCUGAUGCCACUGAGCUUCAAUUGCAAACUCAUCUAGCAAAUCAUCAGCGUCAUAAGCUGCAUCCUUGAUGUCUCUGAGCCACACCUUUAUAGGCUCACUCUUCCACUGCUUCUCCUCUGCAUCUUGCAGCACAGCUCGAAUAGUUCUGAACGUGCGGUUGAGAUUUUCAAGCUCGGUCUCUAGGCCCCCAGCAAGUCCAAGCUCUUGAAGAAUUGGGGAAUUCAAGUUCCCCAUGAUUGUACUCGCGACAGCAGAAAUAAUUGCAUCAGCCAUAGCUUGUUAUCGAAUGGAAAAUAAUUGGAUGUUGACAAGAAGUAGAAAAUGUGCAAGGAUAACCAAAAGCAGGGAUGAGGAAACAGAGCAGUGUGGGAUGAGAAAUGGCAAAGGUGAAAGUGUAUGGUGAUGAGCUUUUCUUCUACUAUCGAUCUCUUUUCAUUAGUGAUUGAUAAUGUGAUGGAUCCAUUUCAUUAUUAGUGAUCUCUUCGCUGCAGUUUCAGAGAAGGAACGUGGCUGUGUUUGCUUAUUGGUUAGUAAAAGUCUUCGUCCCGCACUGGCCAGGCCGCUUGGGCUCCACACGGAUAUUAAGUAAUAUUCUAAAAGUAGUUUCCCCGCGCCUUUUACUUAUUCUACUGUACACAUAACCCGCAAUGUUGCGGAUUACUUUUUUAUAAAAAAUAUUAAAAAAAUAAAAAUUUAAAAAUUUUGAGUUUUUCUGCAAAGCUAUACUAAAAAAUCUUGAGUUUAGCUGCAACACUUAAUCUAAGAGUAAUAUUUAUAAUGUUAAUAAUAAAAUUAAACUUGCAUGAUCCAAGUUUAAGUUAGUCUGGCUGCAACAUCGGACCCAAGAAUAUUGGAUGUGGGUCUGACUAUAAGAUCGUGUCAUAAAAAUAUGAUAAUUAAAUAGAUUAAUUAAAAAAAUAAAGAAAAAAAAUCAAUAGAAAGAAAAAAACUAAUAAAGAAAAAGAAAAAAAAUGAAUUAAUUAGGUUAACCCUUUAAACCAGGUUAUCCCGUAAAACCUGAGAUUCACGUCAUAAAAGUUUGAUAAUUAAAUAGAAAAAAAAAUGACGGGUUUACCCAGAAUUAACUGGGUUAACCUAUCAAAUCAAGUUAACUCGUCAAGCCUAGGAUACGUGUUAUGAAAGUAUGAAAGUCUGAUAAUUAAAUAGAAAGAAAAUUAACUUUAACAAACUAAACUAAAUGAAAAAAAUAACUCGUCAAAUCAAGUUAACCUAUCAAACCCGAGAUCUGUAUUAUGAAAAUCUGAUAACUAAAUAAAAAAAUUAUCAUUAACAAACUAAAUCAAACAAAAAAAUUCAUUAAAAAAAUUAAAAAGAAAAAAAUAGUUAUAUAAUAUAAUAAUAAUAACAAUAAUAAGUAAAUAUAUUAGUAAAAGGCGUGACAUGCCCGCGCGAUGCCGCGGGCUUGUGGCAUGCUUAUACAUUAUCGUGGAUUUGUGAAAAAAAUCAUAUAAAAAAAUACAGUUAUCAUCCACAAUAUUUUAAAGGAAAAAACUACAAAGUUAUAUUCUCAACCAGCUCAAUAUUAAAAAAAACAAAAUCGACAAAAACAAUUAUGAAAAAAAACACACAAAAAAUGAAAACAAGAAGAUGACAAUUUUGGAAGAAAAAAGACAAAAAACAAAUAAUAAAAAAUAGGAAAAAAAACAUGUGGGGAAAGUUAAAGCUAAAUUUUCAACCAGCUUAAUAUUAAAAUCAUUUAAGAAAAUAUUGUAGCAAUUUAUAGUAUUUUGUAAAAAAAUAUAUAACUAUAAUUCUUAAACAGUUCAAUAUUAAAAAAAAAUUAAUAAAAAUAAUUUUGAUGGAAAAUAAUUGGAUGUUGACAAGAAGAAGUAGAAAAUGUGCAAGGAUAACCAAAAGCAGGGAUGAGGAGACAGAGCAGUGUGGGAUGAGAAAUGGCAAAGGUGAAAGUCUGGUGAUGGUCUUUACUGUUGCUAUUGAUCAAUUCUUCAUUACAUUAAAUGAAGGACGAAUUUUUUGCUUUUAGAAGUUGUGAUGUGAGCUUUAAACAAAUUAUAUGUUUGAAAAAAACCUACCAUACCUCCUAAGAAUGUUUUUAGCAGUGUGGUAACUGUUAUUUUUCAAAUAAUUUUUUGUACCGAAAGGUACGUCAAUGAUUUUUUUAUUUUUUAAAAAUUAUUUUUAACCAUAUUAAAUUUUAAUAAAAAAAUAAAAAAAAAAUUUACAUCUUAGAAACACAAGUUGAACCGUGUUUCCAAUCACUGCCUAAGCUGCCGUCCUUGACUAUUAUAUUGAUUAGGCUCCACACGGUCGAGACUUGACUAGCUGUGCUUACAAUAAAGCAAUUCAAUUUUCAAAGAAGGAACAUGGCUGUGAUUUGAAGACAAGAUUUGUCUGCCGGUGUGAACCCAAACUUUUGUUCAAAAUGUGAGCCAAAAUCCAAUCUAAAUUAAUUUAGUAUAUAAAAAAGUUGUAUUUUUUUUUUGUAGUUGUUAUAAUUCUCUCUCAUCAAUUAAAAAAUUUUAAUCUUUAAUAUUGAAUUUUUAGGUUUAAAAAAGGUAAAAAUAACAAGUAAGCAAUUCUUUUUCAUGUUUGGUUUGUUUAUGAAAAAAUUAAGAUUUAUAAAGAUUUGAAGUUUAUGUUUUUAAAAUGAAUUCAUGAUUAUUAUGAAUUUGAGGUUAAGUGAUUAAUUUUGGAUGUGUUGUUAGAAAUAAAAAUUUGUGAAUUAAUUUGUUAAGGGUUAAGAAAUUCGCUUCAACUUUGCUAGAAAAUAUGGACAAAAUAAUUUUGAGGUUGAAGAUAAAGAAAUUGUAUUUUGGUCCUUGAUUUAUAAAAAUUACAGUGUAGUUCCUAAACAUUGAAAAAUUAUAAUUUGACCUGUAACUAUAUUUUGGGAUUCUGAGUGGUAUUAUUAUGAGGUUAAGGAUAAUGACUCUCAGUUUAAUAAUUGAUUUAGGAUAUUUUUAGUCUGGUCCUUUAAUUUUGAAAGUUUACAUUUUAAUCCCUGAACUUUAAAGAAAUUAUAGUUCGGUCCCUGGUUCAUUUCUAGAUAGAAUUGAAAAUGGUUUGUUGGUAAAAUUUCAAUAUGGUUAUGUAUUUACAAUUUGCUUCAAUUUUGGUAAAAUUUUGUUUUGGCUCGUGAUUUCUAAAAAAUGUUGUUUUAGUCCUUAAACUCAUAAGAAUAAACCUGGUUUUAUUUUAUGCAUUGGAAUAUAUUUAUUUGUUGUUUUGGGUUGUUUUUUAGUAUAUUCUGGAUAUUUGUUAUAGGCUCUCCUAACAAUCAUCAAUAAAAUUUUCGGGUUUUUCAUUUGAUAUUCCUUUUAGUUAUAUAUUUUCUAAGUGAGUGAAAUAAUCUUUUUAAUAUUUAUAUAGGUUGCUUUAUUUUCUGAAUACUGAUUUAUUCUUGAAUUUAUACUCGCAUUCUAUUAAACUAAAUUAUAUUCGAUAUGAUAUACAUUUCUUUGAUGAUUCUGCGAAUACCUAGCUGGUAAGAGAGGCAUCAACUUGUUGUGACCGAUCCUCCCACAAUGAUCAUUUUCGGGUGUCAUAUGAUCUUUGACAUAUAUUCAACUACUUUAUAAUAAUAUGCUUAAUAUGUGAUCCUCCACAAUGAUCAUUUCGGGUGUCAUCUGAUCACCUUCGGGUAUCAUCUGAUCUUUGACAUAUAUUCAACUAUUUUAUAAUAAUAUGCUUAGUAUGUAUAUGUUUAUCAAGAUAAAUCAACUUGCAAACUAUUAAUAUCUAAAAUAUAUAUUAAAUAUUAUUCCCUCAAUGAGUUGGUUGCACUCACCUUUUAUUUUUAAUAUUAUUUUAGGUUUUUAGUUUCUGUUAGCAAGUGGCCUUUAUUGAGUAUUCUUGCUUCUUCAAUUUUGAUUGAUAUGUCUUGCUUAUUUUAUAAGACUUUCCUUUUAGUUUUGAUUCGAUGUAUUAGACACUUCAUUAUUACUUUAUUUUAAUUAAGUUUAGAUUUUAACAAUGUAAUAAGUAUUAUGAAUUUUUUUUUUAAUUACUGAUAAGAAGUUUUGAACUAUCAUUUAGUUUUAUUAAUUUUGAAUAAUAUAAUAUUUUUAAAGAUAAUGAAAUGCUAUAAAUUUUUAGAUAACUUAUUCUUUUAAUAUGUUUAUUUUAAAACUUAAUGUAAAUGAAAUAUUCUUUUGACAUCGUUUCUAUAUUAUUAGUCAUGAACUCGGGAUUCAUAACUUGAAUUGCCUUGUUUGUUAGCAAACAUCUUCUUCUCUACUCUCAUUUUUUUUAAUCAAUGGCCAGUGGCCGUCGGUGACCCCAUAUCCAUGUAGCCAAGCUGCGCACUGGCCAGACCCUCGGAAACACCAAUAUCUUCCAGCGCUAGUGAAUGCAAGUUGCCCAAGAUUGUAAUUGCAAGAGCAGAAACAAGUGCAUCAGCCAUGUUUUUAGGGAAUCCAUGAUCGAAGAACAGUGCAUAGUGAACUUUUUUUUCCCCGGAUUUAAUUCAAAUAAAUGUGUUACCUUCCAAUUAAUCUGGUAAUUACAGAAGAAAGAAGGGAUCUUGAAUAACAAGAAGAACAACAGAAGAAAAGAAACAGAGAGAAAGAGAAACUUUUAGUAACAUUCAACACUGGUUUUUUUUUUUUUUUUUUUUUUAACAAAAUCAACAUUCAACUCACACCAUUAAUAUUGUAUAUUUUUUUUUUUGUUAAUCAUAGGUACCCCAUGUUAGCUUUCACAUACCAAACGAAGUCUUUACAACCCGAAAUCAAUUUUUACAUAAGAUUAAAUUGCAUGUUUGAAACGCGGUGAAAAUUAUAUUCUAAAACUUUUAAUUCUUUACUUAAGAUAAAUUUUUUAUAUAUUUUUAUUAUUUUGAUGUAUUUUAUUAAAAAUAAUUUUUUUUAAAAAAAUAAAAAAUUUUAUUUUAAUAUAUUUAUAUACAAAAAAUAUUUUAAAUCACCACCAUUAUUUCAAUUUCAAAAAGAUAAAGCCCUGUGACCCGUGGCCCUAAAAGAUUUAAUGCUAGAAAAAUUCAAACAGGAGAAAGCAAACCUCCAAGCCCAUAACUAAAUACGGCUAGACCAACUCUUUGAGUUUCUAUUUACAUUGUUUGCUUGCUAUUGAUACUUCAUUCAUGGACAGACCGGAGUCCAGCCUGACGUGCAGCAUCACGAACUUCAGGUUUCUCAGUUCGCCUCUUCUGUAUGAGUAUGACCUCCAAAGUAGCACCUACAAUAGACCUUGAGAAAGGCUUUUUUGUAGCACGACGUCUCUUCGUAAAAGUUUCAGCAGCAAUGUCCUGUAAUUAUUAGGAAAGUUGUAUCAAAAUCAACAUCAUGAGUUCUUAUCUAAAGGGAAACUCAUCCUACAAAUAGAAGUUAAUUGGAAACUACAAAAAAAUAGUCACCUUCUUAUGUUGCUUCCUGUACAUUCUGUCCAGGUUAACUUUGAGGGCUUCCACCUGCUGUGGAAGUAUCUCUUGCAUUUAGAGUUGGCAAAGAGGAAGACCUUAAUUGAUUGAAAAAGCACCACUUAUUAGUUUCAUGGAUUGUAUUGCAGAAGAUAUUAAAUAAAAACAAAACACAAUACGCCUUCGACUCCGAACUGCAAAUUACCUGGGAAUCUGAGCGAACGAAUCUGAUGCCCUUGCCAGGAUAUGUCUUCGCCCCACUGAACCGGCAGAGUUCAGUCCUGAAAUCUUCCAGACCAGACAAGUUUGAUGCUCGUCAUGAUAACAUAUUGAAAACCUCAGAUGAGAUCAUUUGCAUAUAAAAAUGCUUCAUUCCAAGACAUAUAAGUUUGAUGGUUAACAAUGGCGUAUCUAAAACCUCGAUGAGGUUAUUCGCACGGUCAUGACGAAUAUUCUCAGAGGUGCAUCAGAUCCUAAAACCCCUUGGCAGAGGUCCAAAAACCCUUUCAAGUGGUCACAGACAGCAGGAAACAAUGAACUCUCGUCCCAACUUCAACUUCAUUGAAGCCUUAGCCAUUCUGUUCUCUUUGCUAUGUUUUCACUAGAAGCAUAUUUAUGGAAGAGAAAUCAUGGAUCUUUGGAACAACAUCUGCAUAAAUCUAAUUCAAACUCUAUCAUUGCAAUCCCUUUUGAAUUUCAUCACUUUUUUUUAAAAAAAAAAGUGCUAAAAAGAAUGUAAAGUUUCUGAGAGUUUUCUUUCUUUUGCCUUGUUAGGAAAUUCUUUAUUAAGAAUGUAUAAAAAAAGAGUAAAUGGAGCUUUGCUUUGUUCUAGAUGAGCAUCCAUGCAUGGUUUAAUAAGUAGAGAAUAAAAUCUUCCAUGAAAGCUUUAGUGUGAUAGACUUGAAUUACAACAAAGAAACUGACAAGCUGAGCACUAGAAAAGAUCAUUCAAGAUCUCAAUUAUGAAGGUUAAAACCAAAGCAUAAAGCAUAUUAUACAUUACAGCAAAAUCUAAUCGAUCAUAGUCCAAGAUCUUACAUUUAUGCUCACCCCCUAUCCUUGUGCAUAAAAACAAAAAAACAAAAUUAGGUUUAAAAGCUACUAUUUAAACUGUAUUACAUAUAUAUAUAUAUAUAUAUAAAAUUUCAUAUCAAAACCAUAUAAAAAAAAUUAAGAUCUUAAAUUUAUGCUCACCCCUAUCCCUAUUUUUUGUAAUCAAGAUUCCUGAAAAGUAUGAUCUCAAAGCUACCUAUGUUUGAGUGAUUUGUACCGUACCAAAAUUUUAAUUCAUGUGCGCUAACUUGAAAAGCAAAUGAUCUGAAAUCAAAAUGGAACACAUGACUAGUGUGAUUAUGGACAUGUUGCAAGAAAAGGUUUUUACUCAAGAAAUUACUCGAAAAAAAGGUGAAAGAUGUUGUUCGGACGUAUAUUAGGAAUUUUAAUGAUUAUCAAUUACAGGUUGAAAGCUUUAGAAAAUAUUAGUUUGGGAAGGUAUGUUCUUCCCAAACUAGCUUUACAAAAUGUUAGACGGAGAAAUAUUGCAUUUGAGCAGGAAAUUGUAGUUUUACACAUAGUUUUAAAACCCGGACCGGCCCGGCGGAUUGACCUGGGACCCGGCCGACCCGGGCAUGGGACCGGUCUGGGUGGAGGUCAAAACCCGCUUGGGAAUUGGUCCGGCCAGACCCGGUCGACCCGAGACCCGGCCGCAAACCCGUUAACUUUUUUUUUUUGUUUUUUUUUGUGUUAAAACGACGUCGUUUUGAUUUUUUAAAAAAAAAUUAAAAAAUAAAUUUUGACCCGGCCGACCCGGUCAAAAUCCGAAACCCAGGCCUUAGACCGGGCCGGGUCUUAAAACUAUAGUUUUACCUUUUCUUACUCUUGUUUCAAGAAAUUUGAAGUACUCUUCUAUUUGUGAAUAAUUUAAUAUUUCUUUAAGUGUAUUUUUUAUUAUUUCAUGUCAAAACCAUAUAAAAAAAAACAAUUAAAAGGGCACAGUUUUGAUAUUUUUAUGGAAAAAAUUAAUUAACAAAAUAUUUUCAAUUAUAUUACUAAACAUGCAUCUAAGCGACAUGACUCACUUGUUUUUGGUUGGUGCAUGUUACAUACGUUAAUGACCAUUAAUAAUUUUUUUUUAUUAUUGAAUUUGUUUUAUUGAAUUUUUUUUAAUUAUAUUAAAAAUAUUAUUAUUAAAGUUUCAAUGUGUUUUCAAUUCUCUUUUCUCUUUCUUGUUGAAGUUUGUAAAACUAUUUUUUAUGUAUUUUUUAAAUAGAUGCACUUUCUAACUAUAAGAAUUUGAAAAAAUCACAAGUGGAAAUUGCUAUUUACAUCAAAUUAGAAUAAUUUUAAAAUAUUUUUCUUUGUGUUAAUUAGCUAUUUAAAAAAACAAAAAAAAUGUGAUUUUAUUUUUAAAAAACUCCCAUCUUAUAGCAUUGGAUUAGGAUAAAGGUGCUUUCAAAAUUUGUGCGUAGAAUAUGUUCUUUCUAAUAUUCCGAUCAAUGACCAUCCAAUGGGUUUCUUGUAACCAUCAUCAAUCCAAUAUUGGAGAUAAGGUUUCCAGAAUCAUAAAGCCCUGCCGUUUUGGCACCUGAUGCCAACAUUAUUGGCCUACAGAAAGACAAUCAAAACUACUAAAGGCCAAUCACCGCCAUGCGAGUAAAGAUAUGUUUCGGAUUGAGUUUUGAAAAUAUUUUUGAAAAAAAAUGAUUUUUUUUUUAAAAAUCAAGGUAAUAUAAUGGGUCAUGUAUACAAAUAAAAUUACUGACAUAACUGAUUUCGUUUGUAAAAUCCAUCAAUAAAUUCAUUUGUAAACUGUUAACUUCUUCCUGACACUGUUUAUCAUGUCAAUUAUAAAGAAAAUCAUUGACAAAAUAUUCUUUUGAUAUUUCUUAGAGAACUUUGCAACUAUUUACUUUCCAAUUGCACUAUUAAUUAUUAUUUUUUAUAGAUAAAAUCACUGACGGAUUGAAAAUUUAUCGGUGUUAUCUGGCGGGUUUCUGAAAAUCUUUUAUUAAAUUAAAUAUUACAGACGAAAUCACCGAUGGAUUGAAAAGUUGUAGGUGAUAUUUGGCGGUUUCUGAAAAUUUUGUAUUAAAUUGAAAAUUUAAAUUAACUAUUACAGACGAAAUAAUUGACGGAAUGAUUAAAAAUAUUAAUAUUUAAUUAUUCAUCUGUAAAACACCCAAUAAAAAGACUAGAAUCCUUUAUUUCACAAUAGACGUGCCUCUUUUUUCUUCUUCUUCUUUUUUUUUUUUUUAAAAAAAAACAUCAACAUCCCUUUCUUUCUCUUCUCUCCUCAACUCCUUAUUUAUUUAUUUAAACGCUGCUUUUCAUUUUUAUUUUAAUGCUAUGUUUGUUUAUGAAGUUGCAUCUGUGUUUGAAGCAAAACACAGGAGUAACAUAUUUGAUAAUAAAAAAAACAUCAUUUACUGUUUAUGGGCCCCAUUGUUAUCCACCUUUGCAACGCAGAAUGAGACAAAGUAGCUCUUCGCUGCUUUUGUGGAGAGUGAAAAGUGGAGGGUGACUCCACUAUUCCGGUUGGAAUGGGUCCAAUUCAAAGCUAAAAAUGCAUUGAACCGGAUCCGAUCCAGUAAAAUAAAAAAAUCAUUUUUUUUAUUUUUAAUUGUGUUUUAUUAAAAAAAAAUUAGUGUUUUAACAUUAUUCAAUGACAUUAUAUAAAUUAUACGGGGAUUGCUUAAUGACGUAAUAUUUGUAGAAUUUGAUCAUAAUCCUAAUUUUAUUCAUGAUGUUGUUGUGCGCUUAAGAAACCAAGAAAACUGUAGUCAUUGUUGAAUGUAUUUCAUAUGUAAUGGAAUUGUAGAUAGUUUAAUGGAACAAUAAAAAAUAUUUUAUAUAAAGUAUUAUUUAUUUUAUGAUGUAAUAACAGUAAUUAAAUCUACAAUAUUUAAAUUAAAAACCAUCAAUAGUAAUAUAUAUUUUUUGAAAUUAUUUUAUAAUCUCAAUUUGAAAAGCAUUCUUAACCAAAUACAUUAAACUAUUUUUUAGUUCAACUUUAAUUUUAACCAAACAUAUAUAAAUAUCAAACCAACCUUAACUAAAAAUACUUUUUAUAAAAUACAUUUUUCAAACCACAACCAUAAAAGCUACCACAAUACCAAACACACUCCAGGUGUGUUUAUUUCUUGGAAAGUGGUUUCCCAGAAAUCACUUUCCAAACUUUCAUGUAUUUAUUUGCCAUUAUGAAAGUUGAUCAACAGAAAACACUUUCCAGUCAAAGAAAAAUUUGGCUUGGUUUCCAGGAAAGUGUUUUCCUUUUAUUUUGGGCGAAAAACACUUUCCGGAAGUUGUGAAAAAUUUAGAAAUGUCAUAUUAUUUGUUGAUUAUAUCAAAUUUGGUCCUCAAACUUUUGAUUGCUAUAUAUAUUUUGUUUUGAAUAUUUGUUUUUCAAUUUCAUCCCUUAGAAUUGAAUUUUUAUAUAAACUUUGGUCCUCAUUUUUAUUUUGCUUUUCCCUUAUUAUUUUUUAAUUGGAAUUUUUUAUCUAUCAAAUCUGGUCCUCAUUCUUUUGAUUGUUAUUUAUUUUAUUUGAAAUAAUUUAUGAAAUGAUAAUUAUUAUUAUUUUAAUUUCUUCAUCUUUUUAUUUUUUUAUUUUUUAGAUUUGAUCUCUAUUAUUUUGAUUAUUAUUUAUUUUAUUUGAGAUAAUUUAUAAAAUUAUAUAUAUUUUUUUAAUUUCAUUCUCAUUCAACUUUUUAAUUUGUAAGAUUUAUUCCUCAUUAUUUUAAUAAAUUUUAAAAAAUAAAAUAUUAAUAAGUUAUUUUCCAGCUCAUUUUCCAUGACAUAACCAAAUACUAAAAAGUAUUUUCUAAUUUAUUUUUCAUGAUACUAUCAAAUAUUGAAAAAUAAUUUAUUUUUCUAAAAUUUAAUUUUUUUUAAAAAAUUUACUUUUCAGUAAAUAAAUAGGAACUUAACUGACACCUCCCAAGUCCUAACGGAUAUCAUGGACCCGUAGGGUAGAUAUUGCCCCUUAGGAUCUUGCUUUCUUCUUCUAAGGCCCGCAUGUUGAUAUUGACCAUCUUGGGCACUUAUGGAACUUGGCCUGGGUUGACAGGUCGACCUGCGACCUGUUUACCCGGGCAUUCAAACUGGAUUGGAAAUUAAUUUUGUUAAACAAAGGUGAUAUGUUCUAUCAAUUCAUAAUUAUCGAUUCGAUUGAUCUAAUUAAUUUUUUUUUAUAUAAAAAACAACUUCGUUUAUUUAUGUUUAUUUAAUUAUUUAUAACUUUUUAUGCCUAAACGAGCCUGGACUUGGAUCGAAUCAGAUGACGAGCCUGGUCUGAUAACUUAGCCUUGAAGUUUAUUCUGUUAGAUCAUUAUUGUUUACUGUGUUAGGCAACAGAUAUCCCUCUAUUCAUACUCAGCUUAAUUUUUCAAUUUUGACUUUUAAAAAUAUGGAGAGAUAUAUGUCAAAUUCCGAUCGGUUCUGAUUUUAAGGAAAAAUAAAAAUUUAUUAAGAAUUCAAAAACAAAUUCAAAAAAUGCUAUUUUUUAUAUAAUUUGAAAAAAUAUAUAUUCUAAACUUUGUUUUAUAAAGCUAAAAAAUUACUAAAAAAUAUAUUUAAUUUAUAUUUAUGUAUACGAUAAUUGUUAAUUUAUUUAAUACUUGUUAAUUUAUUUUUUAACUUUAUUUUAUAAAGCCAACAAUGAUUAAAAAAUAUAUUUAAUUUUUAUUUAUUUAUACUAUACUUGUUAAUUUAUAUAACACUUUUUUAUGUCUUCAUCAAAAUUUUCGUGAAAAAUUAAAUUGAAAAAUCAUGGCUAUGAAAAAUAAACAAUACUCAUUUACUCCCUCAAAUAUGUUUCAUCAGUAAAUCCAUAAUUUUUCUUCGCUGAAUAUCAUUAGAUUUUCAUAAAAAGAUAUGAUUAUAAAGGUGAACAUCUUAGUGAUUUUUUAAAUUUUAUUAUUAUUUUUAGAGUUCUAAAUAAGAUUUUCUUUAAAUUAGAACCAAUAGAAAUCUAACUCGUGUUCUUCCAUAUCUUUAAAAGACAAAAUUAAUGAAAUAUUAGGCUUACUCUGAACAGAGAGAUCUAUACUGCCUAGUAGACAAAAUCAUAGAAACCCAAUUAUAUAAAUUUAAACCAUAAGGAUAUCUUUAUCAAAUAUCAAUAUAUCAGAGAGAUUCAUAGUACCAUUAAACCAAAGUUACACCUAAACUUGUCAUGCAAUAAAACACGUGCAUAUUCAUACAAUAAAAAUAAUAAAUAGACGUAUUUCUCCCUUUCUAUUACAAAGAUCAUUGCAAUACUUAGUAGAUGUAAACGGAAGGGAUGUGAGCUAUCUUAGGCCAGUCUUCUCCUCGCUCCUUCUCGCACCUUUUCUUCAAAUUUGGACAAUUUUCAAUUAUCAAGUCGCUGAGGUUGCUGAGACUCUGUAGCCCUUCUGGCAAACAUACCAAAUUAGGGCAUAUACAGAGUGUUAGAGAUCGGAGAGAAGUAAGAUGUUGGAUACUCUUUGGCAAUGAAUUCAGCUCUGGACAAAGUCUAAGCUCCAAAUCCUCAAGUACUGUCAGAUAUUGCACUCCCUCGGACAGAGACACAAAUUUAUCACAAUUGCUAACAGAUAACUUACGAAGAGAUGAUAAGCCGGACAACCCAUUCAUUGGCAGAGUGUAUAAUCUUGUACAACUAUCUAUCUCUAAAACCUCCAAAGAAGUGAGUUUUCGAAGACCUUCCUCUGGCAAGCUUUCAAGUUCAUCAAAAUGCCGGAUACUCAAGCUUUUAAGAGCUGAAAGGUUGUCAAAUACCUUAUUUGACAAAGACGGCAGAUUUCUCAUCCCAACCAUAUAUAAGAACUCGAGGAGUGUAUGAUUUUGCAAGAACCCAUCUGGAAGCAGCCUCACAUCAAUCCAUUCAAUAGAAAGGAAUGUGAUAGAAGUAAAUUUCAUAACUGACAUCAGUAACGAAGCAUUGCCUCUAUCGAUGAUUAACCUUUUGACGGAAGGUAUAAUUGGUAUUUCGGUCAACAAGGGGCAACGAACUACAGAUAAUUCUCGAAGACGAGGAAAACUACACGGAGCCCAUUGCUCUAGUCUCUUCAUUGAAAUAAAUUUCAGCCUCUCCAAAGAUGGGAAUGGAUUUUGCUCAUCUCCAUACACAUGGCUGUCAAUACACUUCACACCAUCCAUUCCAUCUAGUUCAAGAUUCUUGAGGAACUGUAAUUUCCCAAAUGGUGGAAGUUGUUCACAGUUGCCACAUGCUAUUAGCUUCAUCUCUACUAGAUUCGGUAGCAUCAAGUUCAAGUUCAUCAUCCACUUUGGAAAUUUUGAACCCCCAUAUCCAAUUAAUCUCAAUUCCUUCAGAUUUGAAUGAGGUUGAAGCCCAUCAAGGACAUCCUCAUUAUUUUCAGCUGAUUGCACACAAGUAAAAGGGCGGCGACCUCCAUUCUCAUUCCAACAUAAAUUCAGUGAUAGAAGAGUUGUCUUCAACAUCAAAUUGGCACUUCUGGCAUCUGUUAAAUUCUUAACAUUAACAAGAUCUGUGAUGCUUAGUUCACCAGCAAGAUUAUUCAGCCUUUCUAGCUCCCCUAAGUGACGACCAUCCUCCUUACCCACAAUGAACAGCCCAAGUUUUCGCAGGCAUGUUAAUUGCCCCAUUCCAAAUGGCAUAAAUCGAAGUGAAUGACAGCCCGUGAUGUCAAGAUAGAUGAGACUUUCCAUAUGCUUCAUACCUCUAGGUAAUUCGAUGAGCAGUGUACAAUGACUCAGAUUUAGUGUCUGAAGAUUUUGGAGGGAGGUGAUUGAUGCAGGCAAUUUUUCAAUGUGGGAAUAGGAGACAUCUAGAAACCUUAGAUGUUUCAAAUAACAAAUUGACUUUGGCAAUGUAUUGAGAUGGAUACCUAUAUGCAAGGCUCUCAGAUGCUUUUGUUGGGUGAAAUAAAGAUGCAAAUCAUCACUCACAAGGCGUGUGUGAUGAUAAACUCCAGAAAGCAAAAUUGAGCGUAGAGACCUAGAUUUGAAAUCCUUGUCUUCUGGAACAAACUGUGAUGUCCUGUAUGCACCCACAUGACGAAUUGUUUUAGGAAUUUGCAACUUUGUAUUGCCCUCAAUCAAACAACAUUCUCUCUUCAUAAUGUACUGUGCAAGAUCAUGGAUAAGAUCGUGCAUUUUACAUGUCAUGUAGCCCAGCGCAUCAUCCCUGACUUCUUGAAAAAAAGACCUCCCAACUAAUUCGUGGAAAAUCUCUUCACCCUUAUCGUGCAAAUCCAUUUGCCCAGUGCUCGAAAUGAAGCCAUUUGCCAUCCAUAGAGCUACCAACCGCUCCUUCCGAAUGACAUAAUCUUUGGGGAAUAUAGAGCAAAAUGCAAAGCAUUGCUUCACAGCUGGCUUUAGAUUCAUAUAACUCAAACUCAAGGCAGGUAAUAAUAUCUGGCUUCCUUCAUUUGGCAGAUCCCAAAUCUCACUUUCUUUGACAGACAGCCACUCCCUUUCACUUUUCUUCGAGCGCAUCAGGCUUCCGACUGCUCUUAUAGCCAACGGAACUCCGCUACACUUCUUAACUAUCGCUGCUCCAAUGUUUUCCAAGUGACCGUACUCCUCUCUCCUUCUCAUACCAAAUGCAAGCAGCUUAAAUAAAAGCCAGGAAUCCUCAUCCGACAAUGUUUCCAUAUGUUGAACAGGAUUUGUGGCCAUUUUUUCAGCCAUAGUUCCCAAACGAGUAGUCACAAUAACUGCACUUCCUUUAGCUCCACAGCUCAAUGCAUCUUUCAACUUGCUCCAGUUAUCAUGGUCAUCAUCCCAAACAUCAUCCAAUAUGAGCAAAAACUUCUUACCACGUAAAUUUUCUUGGAGGCAUCGUAGAAGAGCAUCCAACUGUGGAAUAUUUGCAGUAGUGCGUUGAAUGGACUCGAUGAUGGCUGUUGUCAAUCUUUUUAUGUUGAAAUCAACUGAUACGCACACCCAAAUCCGCAAAUCAAAAUGCCCUUCUAUUCUUCCGUCGUUGUAGACUAACUGAGCAAGUGUUGUUUUACCCAAGCCCCCCAUUCCACAUAUAGCAUAAACAGAGAAAUCAUCUGAACUGGUGAGCAGCAUGUUGACCAGAUCUUCUUUCUCCUUGCCCCUUCCAUAAAUUCCUGAUUCAUCCACCCAUGACCAAGUCUGACGCCAAUCAAAACUAUCUGCUUCUAUCUCCAAAGCCCCUUCAAUUAAAUGGAAAUCGUGUCUCCCCUUGGCAAUGCGAUCUAGUGUUUCUGUAACAUUCUUCAAUUUACGAGCCAUCCUUUGUCGAAAAACAAGAGGAUUAUGAUUGAUAGAAAAGAAGGAUCUUAGCCAAUUUUUGAGAUCUCUUCGCUGCUGAUGCCACUGAGCUUCAAAAGCAAACUCAUCCAGUACAUCAUCAACAACAUAAGCUGCAUCCUUGAGGUCGCUGAGCCACACCUUGAUAUGCUUACUCUUCCACUGCUUCUCCUCUGCAUCUUGCAGCACAGCUUGAAUGGUUAUGAACGUGCGCUUGAGAUUUUCAAGCUCGGUCGUUAGGCCCCUAGCAAGUCCAAGCUCUUGAAGAACUAGGGAAUUCAAGUUCCCCAUUAUUGUACUCGCGAGAGCAGAAAGAAUUGCAUCACCCAUGGCUUGUUUUGGAAUGGAAAAGAAGAAGUAGAAAAGGUGCAAGGAAAACUAAAAGCAGGGGAGGUGAGCAAGAAAUGGCAAGUAAAAAUUGAGAAGACAGCAGUAUGAGAUGAAAAAUGGAAAAGGCAAACAGCAGUCUCUGAUUAUAUUGAUUAGGCUCCACACGGUGCAGGCUUGACUUGGCUAUGCCUAUAAUAGUAUAAUAAAGCAAUUGAAGUUUCAGAGAAGGAACAUAGCUGUGAUUUCAAGCAACAUUUGUCAAUUAUCGCAUGCCUUUUCCUGUUUUAAACAGAAACGUGAUUAACGCUUUUGGCUGUGAAUUCUCAAGGGUAUUUUUCUUUUCAAUAUAUUCUCCAUUAGUUAGAACACAGUGCAAAAAGUUUUUCAUAAAUGUGUUUUAAUCCUCGGUUAGAGUUAAUUUAUUCUUAAUGACAGUAGAAUGACAUCAUAAUCACAACUAAUCUCAAAAACUUAUUUAAUCAACUUAAUAUUAAAUAAUAAAAUAAAAUAAAAAAUCGAGGUAAUCAAGCAACCCGCGACCUGGACAAAUUCCAACAGGAACACAAGAUUGGUUAUGUAAAAAAGAAGUGCAGAAGGACCAAAUAAUUGCUCACUCCGUGGAAUAAACAAAUAUUAGUCUAUCUUGGACAUGAAUAGAGAAAGGUUAUUAUAUUUUCAAAUAUUUGUGAUUUGAGAGUUGGGGUUCAAUUUUAUCAAAAUAUUAAAACCGCUGUCUUUUAACUACACUGAUUAGGCUCCACACGGUGCAGACUUGACGAACAUUGAAUGUCUGUAUUAAAGCAUUGAAGUUUCUGAGCAGCGACACGGCUGUGAUUCGAAGACAACAUCUGUCAACUUGAAUUUCCUUGUUGGUUACUAAACGUCUUCUUCCCGCGCUUGCCAACCCGCGUGGCUCUACACACUUAAAUUUUAAAGAAUUACAUUAGGCUCCACACGGUGCUGACUUAACUAGCCAUGCCUGUAUUAAAGCAAUUGAAGGUUCUGAGAACCAACACAGCUGUGAUUAGAAGACAACAUUCCACCUUGAUUUUUCUUUUCAAUUGAAGUUUUUGCUUGCUCAAAUAAUUUAUCUAUGCAAAAGUCAAAAUGUAUUUUUAUAACGAAAUAAUUACUUUCUCAAAUAAUUCUGAUUACAAAACUUUAAAUACCAUUGAAAAUGAUUUUUCAAUAAGAAAAAUGCAUACAUGCCUAGUUGCUCAUAUGCUAAUGUACUUAUCCACUACUGUGCUAAUUUGUGAAAUAUUUUUGUCUACUGCGUAUAGAAAAAAACUCUCAAAUUUCUCUUUGUUCUCUGUUGUACCAUCAAAAGAAAAAUCCAAAGUGAUAAUGCAACAUCCAAAAGUAUAAAAUAUGGUAUAAAAACCAAAUAAAAAAAUAAUAAUUAGGGAUUAAAUUAAAAAAUAAAAUAAAAUAAGAAAAAAAUUUAAAAAUAGCAAUAAAAAGAAUAAAAACUAUUAUUUAAUGAAGAAAUUAAAUGAAAUAAAAUAUUGAGAGUUAAAAAUAAAAAACAAUAAAUCAAGAAAAUAAUAAGAAAAAAGAAAUUAAAAGAAUAAUGAUAAAAUUUAAAUUAAAAAAUUUUAAAAAAUAAAAUGAUAAAGGAAAAAAUAAAUCAAGAAAAGAGUAAAUUAUAUUAAAAAAAAACAUUAAACAAAACAAGAAUUAAAUUAGAUACCAAAACUAAAUAAAAUAACUGACUGGGCUCUACACAGUGCAGACUUUGACUAUCUAUGCCAAUUGAAGUUUCAGAGAAGUAACAUGGCUAUGAUUCGAAGACAACAUUUAUGAACUUGAAUUAGCUUGUCGGUUAGUGAAUGUCUGUGUCCCGCACUGGCCAAUCCGCGUGGGUCUCACACGCCAGGCAUGAAAGACAAGAAUGCCUCAAUCAGAUGCAUGAACAUAAAAGAUGGAAGAAAAGAAAAGAUGGUGGAGUCCUUUAGGUGGGUCUCCACGAAGAAAUUAUGCAACCAAGAGGCAAUGUACCCUUCACUUUCAUAUCCAAAGAUCGCAAAAUAUCUGAUCAAAACUGUGAUCCAAUUUUGCCCGUGUGAGAUGGAGGAACUUCCCGGAGGAGGGAGGGUUUUUAGGCGAGUUAAGCAUCUCCAAUAGAGAUGUUAUUUUAAAAAGAUAAAUUGAUAAAAUAAUAUUUUAAAUAGUAUAAAUAUAACUUUUUUUACGAUGUAUAUUUUAAUAGAAAAAAGUUAUUUGAAAAACCAAUUCUAUUAUAAUAGAAUAAAUAAGUGUUUUAUAUUUUUUUAAUAAUUUUGAUGUUAUUUUUUUUCUACAUGGCUAGAUUUAAUUGAUUUUUUUUUUUUUGCCCCACUUGGUUAAUUUUGGCUUUUUUAAAAGAUAUAUAGGAAUAAUAUUUAUGGAAAAGAAAAGGUAUUUUAGCAUUUUAUUUAGCUUUUUCUUUGAAGUAUAAAAACAAAUAAAAAAAAACCAAAAUAUUAUUUUUUUAUUUUUAAAUAUUUAUUUAGCCUCUCCAUUGGAAAUGCUCUUAAGGUUUGGUUUCAUUGCUAUGGAGGAACUUCCCGGAUUCCGGCUACAAGCCUAUCUACCUAUCUUUAACUUGUCCUUGUGGGUGUGAGUUGUGACUUCUGCUUCCAACAUAUGGAUUGUGCUUUAUAUAAUUUUAUAAAGAUCCAAAAUUGCAUGAAAAAAAAUAAAAAAAAUAUAAAACUUUAAAGAGAGAAAUAAUUAAGCGUUGAAGAGACACCAUAAUUCUAUUAUAGGGAAACUCUCAUGUUACUCUCCAACUUGUAUAUCCAUUCUCAAUUACAUUUAAAACCUACGAAUUUUUUCAAUUAGGUUCCAAACAUUUCAAAAUAUUCUCAAUUAGUGUUUUUUUUUUUUUUUUGUCAACGUUGUCGGUAUUUUUGUCAAAUAUUCUUAAAACCGAUGUCUGUUUUAGAGCAUAAAUAUACAUAUUGGAUAUAAAAAAUAUGAAUACUCGUAAAAAACAGUUCCUCUAUUUUUAAAAGAUAAAUUAAUUAAAUUUUUUUUAAAAAUAAAUUACCUAGUUCAUUGACCAGGUUACUUUUUUUAUAAUAUUUAUUUAUUCAUUUCCUUUCUUCUAUUUUCUUUUUAAAAAAAACGUAAAUGAACAGAAAGGACUAAAUAUAUAUAUUUUUUUUUAAAUAACUAAUUACUUCAUUUCUCAAAACUAAAAGGACUUAGUUUUAUAAUUUAGACCACAAGGGUGCAUUGGAAACCUUGGACUCCAAGGGUGAGUCAUCUCCACGUACUAUUGAGGAUUAGGAUGAAUAUUGAAAGUGACCUUACCUGCAACACGUGGUCGUAUGGUCUUUCAAUUUCAGGUGACACAUGGGUCCCACAAACCAUCAUCAUUUUAUUUCAUUUUCCCCUGCCUUGUGGAGAGAAAAAGAAAACCAACCAAGUCUUCUUCCUCCCUCUCUCCAGGACAGGAAGCGGGACCCAAUCUCAAAUACCCAACCCAAUCCUAGCCGUUGAUUGUUUUUUUCCUGGAUUCCUACUCUCUCUAUCUAGCUAUCUACCUGAUCCAGCUGGAUUUAGCUGUUACAAACUGUAACAAUCAUAUUUCACCCGCUUGAGUUGAGCUUGAGCUAUCUACCUAGCUAAGCCGUCGAGCAGUAAUAUUCAAGCCGACUUGAAAUAUUAGCUGCCAUUACGAUUUCCGUCACCAGUCUAACAUCUAAUUAAUAACUUUAAUAAUCAUUCAUUUCAUAUAUUAAUAACAAUAACAAUAAUAAUAUUGUACUCAAAACUUAUAAAUAAAAUAAAAAUUUUGAAUUUUUAAAUCUUAUAUAAGAUAAUAAUUCUUAUUAAAUAAUUUCUUACCAUCAUAAUCAUUAUAUUAGCCACAAUAAAAAUUAUCGGAUCUAGACAGUUAGGCAUAACCUCGAGCCCAGCUCGAUUAUAAAAAAAUAUUUCAGCUUUCAUCGCCCACAAACCUCCCUCCCUCCCUCAUUUUUUAUGGUUUAAUUCUAUAAUACACUUCAAGCUAUUAGGACAAUAUUGAAUUUAUAUUUAAACUAUUUUAAUUAUAAUUAUUCCGAGUCAUGAGAUCAUAGGUUGCUACAACGCAAUUUUUCUAUGGACAAAAUUUAUUUUAUAGUGCCGGCGGGGUAUCUUUUGAAGUGUUCAUGUAUAAAUUUGAAGCAAAGUAAUGAAGAGACGUGAGACAAUGCAGUAGUGAAACAGAGUUAUUUAUUCAUACCUCUUUCUUAUGAAGAGACGUACAUGUGUAUAUAUAGAGUGGGAAAAACUUGCAGCAAGGAAAGACAAUCUUGCAUAUAUUUUCUCCCAUGAUUAUUGCUAAGAUUAUAUGUUAAUAGUAAAUACACAAUCAUAUCUAAACUAGAUAACAAGUACUUGAUGAGUUGUUGCCAAUGGUUAGGUUUAAGAGAAAAACAUGGCAGCUCCUCCUUUAUGGGUAUGCUAUAUAUAUACUUCAUCUAACCAACAAAAGAGAAGUAAUAUAUUUUUCUUUGCAGAUAUCUAGAGACAAAGUUCUUCUCUGCAGUGAAGCCAAUGUAGGGGAGACCUGUAACCCUGAUUUUUUUUUUUUAAUUAAUAUGGUUAUUCGGGUUAGCUUACGCCUACUUCGAUUAAUUCUAUUGCAUGAACCUUGAAAUUAAUAACUAUAUAAGUCUUCAAUAAUCUUGAAAAUAUUUAAAUUCAUGAUCAUUAAAGAAUAAACUCAAAAUUUAACUUGUUGAGUUACCCCUCAAGAUUUCUAAUACCCUGACUCUUGUUUACACACAAUGCCGGCGGUGAUAGUUAGGGGUGAUCAUUUUCGAUUUGGUUCGGUUUGAUUUUUAUUAAAAAAAAAUAAUCAAACCAAUUUUUUUUUUUUAAACCAAAACUAGUUCAAACCAACCGGUUUUGGUUCGGUUUUUUAGGACAAAAAGCCGGUUUGGCUCGGUUUUCUUGGUUUUGACUCAGUUUUUUCUGGUUUUGGCUCUGGUUUUUUGAUUUGGCUCGAUUUUUUCUGGUUUGGGUCCGGUUUGGUUUGGUUUUUUGGUUUUAGACUUAUAAAACCAAAACCAAACCAACUGAUUUUUUUAAAAUUUUAAUUAAUUUUUUUCACGAUUUAAUUUUUUCAAUUAUUUUUUUCAGUUUUCUUAAUUUUUCGAUAUUUUUACUCACUCUAUCACUCUAUCGUAUGUUUUGUUUUUUACAGUAAAGAAGGCUGGUGUUCUUACUAUUAGUUUUUUUAUAUAUAUAUAAAUUAAAGAUCAUUAAUGGAAUCUGCUAUGGAAAGAAUAUUCAAAUAUUAGAGAAGUGCACAGGGACAAAAUAAUUGCUCACUCCCUGGAAUAAUCAAAUAUUAGUCUAUCUCGAACAUGAAUAGAGAAAGGAAGAAAAGAACACGUCAUGACUUUGAACAGAGAAAGUAAUAAUUGCCCAUUCGCCUUGAAAUUCUAGCUGUACAGCAUUUGGAAUUUCACGAGGCAAAAGAUUCUUAACAAUGAGUUAAAUCUCCCUUUUGAGGUGGUGACCUGACCUGUCGGAAUUGCUUUAUAGACAAGAAUGGAUUCAUGAGUCAUAUUCUACAAGAAACAAGCAAGUCAUUUGACUCACAUAAGAAAGAUGGAAAUAUAUUUCCCCUUUAAUAAAGAGCUAAAAGGGUACGCUAGAAAUUUAAAAUUUUUUAAAAGUACAGUCCAAACAUUGUAUAAUUACCCUCACAAACUUUCAAUAAUAGAUACCAUUUGUUACGCAUAAUUAUGGUAUUUCAAAUUACGCGUGCUUGCUGUGAUUUUCUUCCAUGCACAUAUCUCAAGUAAAUGAAAGCAGGCUUCUGGAACAUGAAGAACUGAGAGGUGCCCGUGCCCUUGCCUUUCAUACAGCGAAGCACCAAUCCAGGUCCGUUCAUGGCUUUUCAGCAAACAAGGAAACCAUUGGCGAUGCUUUUACAGAGUGCUCAAUCACUUUUCUAUUUUUUACAUUAGAAUUUAGAUGGAUACAGAGUGCUCAACCAUCGGGUUAUAAAUUUCAUUUUACUAACAAAACAAUGUUCCCGGGCAACACAUCUCCCCUCGAGUUAUAAAUUUCAUUUUACUUUUUUUUUCGUUACUGACAACGUAUAAAUUUCAAUUACUUAAUUUUUUACUGAAAUUUCAUUAUAACUUAAUAACAAAAUGUAGAUCAUAUAUACUAAGAUUCGCUCCAAUAGAAGCAAUGACCAUGAUGCAGUGACACAUGGAAAAGUUAUACAGUAAUGUAGGUCAUUCUCAGGCUUUUUUUUUAUUUUAUUUUUUUUGUAGUUUUUCUAAUAUACCCAUGACAGGGUAGACUUGUCCUAUAUAGACGAAUCAACUGUUAAAUGUUCCACAAAGAGUAUGGCAGGCCAAAAACACUCACUAUGUUUUGUUAUGUAGGCAUGCAGCUGCUCUUUCCAGGGCUUUCUCUUUGUUGUUUUUAACAAAAAAAGCAGAGAUAUUUACUCAAACCUUCUCAGGCAUUCAUAUCAAACGAACCCUAGCUACGUGUGAAGAAGAUUGAAAGAGAAUGAUCAGUAAGGAUACAUAGAGGAUUUAAAAGCUGUGAAAGCUUGCUCAUGUAGUCGCUGGAUGAAUUAAUCGAGGAGUUUACAAAUAGGCUGGAAUUGCAUCGACACUGAAAUUAACACCUUCAAUUCAAAAAUGAUUUUGACAUUUUGCAGAUAUGGUUCCUUAUCUACAGCUUAGUGAUAUUUAGAGAGAGUUUUCGGCAAAUGCAGCCCACAUUACUAUUCAAUCUCAUGAUGAUGCGUGGCAUCAGAUCGAAUUGUUGAGUUUUCGCGUUGAUAAUCUUCAAAUUUUCUGCAUUUGGACCUAACUGUGAGAUGAAUGGUUUUAUUCGUCAUGACUGUGCAAAAACUUAUUUAAAUCAUCGUUAUUUUCAAAUUAAAGAAAAAUAUUUAUGAUCACAUUUAGUUAAAAGUUACUCUUUAGAAUCAAAUUGAACUAGAUUUUUUAAUUCAUGUCAUCUCAACUAACUUUUAUCAAACGCUUAUAAGAUCAUAGAUCCUUAUGAAUAUAGUAUUUUUUGUAGUUGAAUAAUGGGUUUAAUCAAAUCUCCAUGCUAUUGAUUCAUUUUUCAUGACACAAAAAGGUGAUAGCUUGAUGUAAAAUUCUAACACUUGCAAAAUAGUUUUUUUUUAAUGGAUUUGAAUACCUUCAAAUGCUUAAUUAAGCAAGAGGAAAAUAUAUAAAUAUGCAAAAGAAUAUUAAAUUCUAAUAACAAAAUUAUUUUUUUGUUUUGAUAUGAAAAUAUGUAUUUUAUAAGAAAAUGAUGAGUGUAUGUUGAGAUUGAAAAUUAUAACCCUUAUAUGGAUAGUUUAAGGAGUAUCUAUACCCAAAAACAUUAUCAUUUUCCUUAAGUGAAGGGGUUUGAAUUAUUUCACCAUGAUAGCAUUAAAGAAGAACAAAAAUCUUUCAUAUAUAUAUAUAUAUUAUUAUAUAUUAAAGAGAAAUAUUUCUAACAUAAAUAUUUAAUAAAAUUUAAUACGUAAUAAAAACUCUUGUACACCGAAAAUAUAGAUUGAACAUGAUUCAACUAAAGAACUUGAAUAAAAUAAAAAUAUCAAGAAAUUUGAUACGGGUAGAAGCCACAAGACAAUGCUCAAAGGUAUUAAGCCUAGCAUGGGCCUAAAACCUUUUUUAAAAUGUUCUUCCUGAGUUGUCGUUAAAACAUGCUUGGAUUAACAUGUAAAAUGAUAAGAGAAUAAUAGAAUUUGCUGGAAUGAAAUUAUUAUUGAUUGCAUUGCAUAUUUAUAUAAGAGUAUCUACAUUUAUCUCUUCUACUAUGAAUCCAACACUUGGAAUUCAUUGUCCUAUAAAGAAUUAUUAUUACAGUAGGAAAUCAUGUAUAAAUUAUUCAUUCCUAAUAUAUCUCUAUCAGGAUUCCUAAUACUCCCCUUCAAGUCGAAGAGUGGAUGUCCUACACUCCCAACUUGUGAAUCAUGAAUGAAGACAUCUUUUACUAAGGGUUUGGUGAAGAUGUCUGCCAAUUGAUGGUCAAAAUGAACAUGUCUUGUUAUCAUAGAAUCAUCUUGAAUUUUUUCCUUGAUAGUGACAGUCCAUCUUAAAAUGUCAGGUGCACUCAUGAAACACUAGGUUGGCUACAAUGUGUAAUGCAACCUUGUUAUCAAUGUAGUAAAGCAAGUUCAUGAUGUAAAAGGCCUAAAUCCCUCAACAGACAUCGGAGCCAUGUCAACUCACAACAUGCUCCUGUCAUUGCACGAUACUUUGCCUCUGCAGAGGAGAGUAAGACUGUUUUUUGUCAUUUUGAUCUCCAGGAUAUCAAUAAGGGUCCAAGAAACACACAAUAACCCGUGGUAGACCUCUGAGUUAGUGGGCAACCUGCCCAAUCCGAGUCUGAAUAAGCUCUUAAUUUGUAAUCAGUGUGUGAAGGAAAGAAUAACCCUUGACCAGGAGCUCCUUUCAGAUAUCGGACAACCCGGAAAGCAGCUUCCAUAUGAAGCUUCCGGGGUUGGUGCAUGAAUUUGAGGAACUGCAAGUUCCUCAAUGGUGGAAGUUGUUCACGGUGGUCAACACAUUUCAUUGUAUAUAAUAAUAAUAAUAAUAAUAAAAUAAUAAUAAUGUACUCAAAAAUUUAGAAGUUAUAAAAUAAAGAUUUUUUUAUAUCUUAUAAGAUAAUAAUUCUUAUCAAACAAUUUCUUACCGUCAUAAUCAUUAUAUCAGCCACAAUAAAAACUAUCGGAGCCAGGUUGGCAUAACCUAGAGCAUUCUUGCGUAUUUUCUAAAAGAGAAAGAAAACAUUUUUUCAUGAUUUUUACUUUUUUAUUCUUAAAUAAACAAACAUUCAAAAUUAACUUAAACAUUAGGAUGCAACAACAACUCCAAUUCCAAAACAAAAAAUAACAAAAUAAUAUGAAAGCAAGUAACACUCAUAUUUAUACAUUCUAAAAAGAUAUACCCAUCGCUCUUGCGUGAGCUGCUCCAAGUGAUCUAGUCACCAUCAACCUCCAACAUCUCACUCAAGCAUUAGAAAACAUCUAGGCAUAAAACAAGCCCCAUGACUCACAUAAAAAAAAUAUUUCAGCUUCCAUUGCCCAGAAACCUCCCUCCCUCCCUCAGUUUUUAUGGUUUAAUUCUAUAAUAAACUUCAAGCUAUUAGGAUAAUAUUGAAUUUAUAUUUAAACUAUUUUAAUUAUAAUUAUUCCGAGUCAUCAGAUCAUAUGUUGCUACAACGUAAUUUUUCUAUAGACAAAAUUUAUUUUAUAAUGCCGGUGGGGUAUCUUUUGGAGUGUUCAUGUAGAAAUUUAAGCAGAGUAAUGAAGAGACAUGAGGCAGUGCAAUAGUGAAACAAAGUUAUUCAUUCAUACCUCUUUCUUAUGUUGUACAUGUAGAGUGGGAAAAACUUGCAGCAAGGAAAGACAAUCUUGCGUAUAUUUUCUCCCAUGAUUAUUGCUAAGAUUAUAUGUUAAUAAUAAAUACACAAUCAUAUCUAAACUAGAUAACAAGUAAGUUAUACUUGAUGAGUUGUUGCCAAUGGUUAGGUUUCAGAGAAAGACAUGGCAGCUCCUCCUUUACGGGUAUGCUAUAUAUAUACUUCAUCCAACCAACAAAAGAGAAGUAAUAUAUUUUUCUCUGCAGACAUCUACAGACAAAGUUCUUCUCUGCAGUCAAGCCAAUGUAUGGGAGACCUGUGACCCCUGACUUUUUUUUUUAAUUAAUAUGGUUCGAUUAAUUCUAUCCCAUAAACCUUGAAAUUAAUAACUAUAUAAGCUUUCAAUAAUCUUGAAAAGAUUUAAAUUCAUGAUCAUUAAAGAAUAAACUCAAAAUUUAACUUGUUGAGUUACCCCUCAAGAUUUCUAAUACCCUGACUCUUGUUUACACACAAUGCCGGCGGUGCUAGUUAGGGGUGAUCAUUUUCGAUUUGGUUCGGUUUGAUUUUUAUUAAAAAAAAAGUAACAAAACCAAUUUUUUUUUUAAAAAAACCAAAACUAGUUCAAACCGACCGGUUUUGGUUCGGUUUUUUAGGACAAAAAGCCGGUUUGGCUCGGUUUUCUUGGUUUUGGCUAGGUUUUUUCCGGUUUUGGCUCUGGUUUUUUGAUUUGGCUCGGUUUUUUUGGUUUGGGUCCGGUCCGGUUUGGUUUUUUGGUUUUAGACUUAUAAAACCGAAACCAAACCAACCGAUUUUUUUAAAAUUUUAAUAAGUUUUUUUCACGAUUCAAUUUUUUCAAUUAUUUUUUUUCUAGUUUUUUUAAUUUUUCGAUAUUUUUACUCACUCUAUCGUAUGUUUUGUUUUUUACAGUAAAGAAGACUGGUGUUCUUACUAUUAGUAUUAUAUAUAUUAUAUAUAUAUAUAUAUAUAAAUUAAAGAUCAUUAGUGGAAUCUGCUAUGGAAAGAAUAUUCCGUUAGCAAUUCUAAUUUUUUAGAUUUUUUUAAUUUCGACAACAAUUUUUAAUGCUAGCAAAAUAUUUCAUUGAUAUUUUUAUUGGUAUUAGAAAUCAUUAACGAGAUAAAAAAGUUUAAUGAGCAACUUUUUAAAGAUAAUAUUUCAUUAGUAAUUUCAUUGAUGUUUUCAUUGGUGUUAGAAAUCAUCAAUAAUUUCUAAUAAUAACAAAAUUCUCUCUAAAUACUGAUAUAAUAUUCUUUUAACAUUCCUUAAUUUUGUGCUAGUGUUUAACGUAAAUAACUUCCUUUUGUUUUUCAAUUAAACAAAUUAUCAUACUUUAAAUUGCAUACUGAUAUAUUUUUUUUCUUACUUUAAAAAUUAACUUAAAAACUUACAUGUAGUAUAACAAGAGUUAUUGCACCAAUGAGAACUAAAUACCAUUAUCUUGUAAAAAAAAAAAAAGUAGGUUGCAGUCGAGAAAUAAUUUAUUUCCAUUUUAAUUUUGUAUUUUUGACAAUGUUUUAGGUUUUUUUGGGCUAAUAAAUUAUUAUUUUUUUAAGUUUUAAGGAUGUUGAUUAAUUAUUUUUUUGAUGAAAAUAAUGAAAAUAAAUUUUUAGAUAAAAAGAACAUCCUCUCAAUUUUUAGUCACUUUUACUAGAAUUUAGAUGUGGAAGUUACACGUCAUUUGUUUCUUAAAAAAAUUAGAAAGAUGACAAAUUUGAAAAAAUAAUGAAAAAAGCCUUGAGAUGCAGUGGCAUAGGCUAGCAGACCCGCAUGCUUAGACUUAUUUUUAAAGGUUCCAUCUUGCUAAGCCACAGGACGUGUACCUUGCUUUUAUUAAAAAAAAAUUCCAAUAAUUUUGGUUGUGAUUUCUUAAAUUUUAAUUAAUCAAAUAUUUAUUAGUUAUAUUAUUUAUUAGAUUCUUAAAGUGAUUAAUUAUAUAUUUAGAUAUUAUUUUAGUUAAAGUGAUCAUUUUUUACCAUGUUUUAGAAUAAAAUUAUUUCUGAACGUGCGGUUGAGAUUUUCAAGCUCGGUCUCUAGGCCCCUAGCAAGUCCAAGCUCUUGAAGAAUUGGGGAAUUCAAGUUCGCCAUGAUUGUACUCGCGAGGCAGAAGUAAUUGCAUCAGCCACAGCUUGUUUCGAAUGGAAAAUAUUGGAUGUUGACAAGAAGAAGUAGAAAAUGUGCAAGGAUAACCAAAAGCAGGGAUGAGGAGACAGAGCAGUGUGGCAUGAGAAAUGGCAAAGGUGAAAGUGUCUGGUGAUGGUCUUUACUCUUGCUAUUGAUCAAUUCUUCAUUACAUUAAACACAUUAUACGUUUGCAAAAAACCCACCAAAGACCACACCUCCCAUCUAAACUGCCGUCCUUGACUAUUAUAUUGAUUAGGCUCCACACGGUCGAGACUUGACUAGCUGUGCUUCCACCAUUGGAGAUAAGGUUUACAGGAUCAUAAAGCCUUGCCGUUUUGGCACCUGAUGCCAACAUUAUUGGCCUACAGAAAGACAAGUGGACAUCAAAACUACUAAAGGCCAAUCACCGCCAUGCGAGUAAAGAUAUGUUUCGGUUUGAAUUUUUUUUUUUUUUUAGAUCAAGGGAAUAUAAUGAGUCAUGUAUACAAAUAAAAUUACCGAGAUAACUGAUUUCGUUUGUAAAUCCAUCAAUAAAUUCAUUAAUAAACUGUUAACUUUUUCCUAAUACUAUUUAUCAUGUCAAUUACAAAUGAAAUUAUUGACGAAAUAUUCUAUUAAUAUUUCUUAAAAAACUUUGCAACUGUUUACUUUUUAAUUGCACUAUUAAUUAUUAUUCUUUAUAGAUAAAAUCACUGACGGAUUGAAAAUUCAUCAGUGUUAUUUGGUGGGUUUCUGAAAUUUUUUGAUUAAAUUAAAUAUUACAGACGGAAUCACCGAUAGAUUGAAAAGUCGUAGGUGAUAUUUGGCUAUUUCUAAAAAUUUUAUAUUAAAUUGAAAAUUUAAAUUAACUAUUACAGAAGGAAUAAUUGACAGAAUGAUUAAAAAUAUUAAUAUUUAAUUAUUCAUCGGUAAAACGCCCAAUAAAAAGACUAGAAUCCCUUAUUUCACAAUAGACGUGCCUCUUUUUUCUUCUUCUUUUUUUUUUUUUUUUUUUUUUAAAUCAACAUCUCUUUCUUUCUCUUCUCUCCUCAACUCCUUAUUUAUUUAUUUAAACAAUGCUAACUGGGUUGAGUCCACUGUUCCGGUUGGACCGGGUCCGAUUAAAAGCUAAAAAUGCAUUGAACUGGGUCCAAUCCAGUAAAAUAAAAAUAUUAUUUUUUAUUUUUAAUUGUGUUUUAUUUUAAAAAAUAGUGUUUAACGUUAUUCAAUGACACUACAUAAAUUAUACGGGGAUUGCUUAAUGACGUAGUAUUUACAUAACUUGAUCGUAAUCCCCAUUUUAUUCCUGAUGUUGUUGCGCGCUUAAGAAACUAAGAAAACUGUAGUCCUUGUCGGAUGUAUUUCAUACGCGAUGAAAUUGUAGAUAGUUUAAUGAAACAAUAAAAAAUAUUUUAUAUAAAGUAUUUUUUUAUUUUAUGAUGUAAUAGCAGUAGUUAAAUCUGUAAUAUUUAAAUUAAAAACCAUCAAUAUUAAUAUAUAUUUUUUGAAAUUAUUUUAUAACCUCAAUUUGAAAAGUAUUCUUAACCAAAUACAUUAAACUAUUUUUUAGUUCAACUUUAAUUUUAACCAAACAUAUAUAAAUAUCAAACCAAUCUCAACUAAAAAUACUUUUUAUAAAAUAAUUUUUUUCAAAUCACAACCAUAAAAGCUAUCACAAUACCAAACACACUCCGGGUGCGUUUAUUUUCUAGAAAGUGGUUUUCCAGAAACCACUUUUCAAACUUUAUUGUAUUUGUUUGCCAUUAUGAAAGUUGGUCAACGAAAAACACUUUCCAGUCAAAGAAAAAUUUGGCUUGGUUUCUAGGAAAGUGUUUUCCUUUUAUUUUGGGCGGAAAACACUUUCCAGAAGUUGUGAAAAAUUUAGAAAUGUCAUAUUAUUUACUAAUUAUAUUAAAUUUGGUUCUCAAACUUUUGAUUGUUACAUAUAUUUUGUUUUGAAUAUUUGUUUUUCAAUUUCAUCCCUUAGAAUUGAAUUUUUAUAUAAACUUUGGUUCUUAUUUUUAUUUUGCUUUUCCCUUAUCAUUUUUUAAUUGGAAUUUUUUAUCUAUCAAAUCUGGUCCUCAUUUUUUAUUGUUAUUUUUUUAUUUGAAAUAAUUUAUGAAAUGUUAAUUAUUAUUAUUUUAAUUCUUCAUCUUUUAAUUUUUUUAUUUUUUAGAUUUGAUCUCUAUUAUUUUGAUUAUUAUUUAUUUUAUUUGAGAUAAUUUAUGAAAUUAUAUAUUUUUUUCAAUUUAUUCUCAUUCAACUUUUUAAUUUGUAAGAUUUGUUGUUCAUUAUUUUAAUAAACUUGAAAAAAUAAAAUAUUAAUAAGUUAUUUUCCAGCUUAUUUUCCACGACAUAACCAAAUACUAGAAUGUAUUUUCUAACUUAUUUUUCAUUACAUUACCAAACAUUAAAAAAUAAUUUAUUUUUUAGAAUUUAAUUCCUAAAAAAAAUUACUUUUCAAUAAAUAAACAGGGAUUUAACUAACACCUCCCGAGUCCUAACGGAUAUUAUGGACCCGCAGGGUACAUAUUGCCCCUCAUGAUCUUGCUUUCUUCUUCUAGGGCCCGCAUGUUGAUAUUGACCAUCUUGGGCACUUCCGUUCUCCAUUGCCAGAGACGUUCGAGGCAGUGAAGCUCCCCAUCCCGCAUUAACGGUGGUUCGCAUUGCGUUUUGAAAAUAUUUUAAAAAGAAAUUGAUUUUCUUUUAGAUCAAGGGAAUAUAAUGGGUCAUGUAUACAAACAAAAUUACCGACAUAACUGAUUCGUUUGUAAAAUCCAUCAAUACAUUUAUUAGUAAACUGUUAACUUUUUUCUAACAUUGUUUAUCCUGUUAAUUAUAAAGGAAAUUAUUGACGGAAUAUUUUAUCGGUAUUUUUUAAAGAACUUUGCAACUGUUUACUUUUCAAUUGUACUAUUAAUUAUUAUUUUUUAUAGAUGAAAUCAUUGACGGAUUGAAAAUCCAUCAGUGUUAUUUGACGAGUUUCUGAAAUUUUUUGAUUAAAUUAAAUAUUACAGUCACAGAUGGAAUCACCGACAGAUUGAAAAGUCAUAGGUGAUAUUUGACGGUUUCUGAAAAUUUUGUAUUAAAUUAAAAAUUUAAAUUAACUAUUACAGACGGAAUAAUUAACUGAAUAAUUAAAAAUAUUAAUAUUUAAUUAUUCAUCCGUAAAAUGCCUAAUAAAAAAACUAGAAUUCAUUAUUUCACAAUAGACUUGCCCUUUUUUUCUUCUUCUUUUUUUUUUAAAAAAAAACCAUCAACAUCUCUUUUUUUCUCUUCUCUCCUCAACUCCUUAUUUAUUUAUUUAUUUAAACGCAGCUUUUGAUUUUUGCUUUAAUGCUACAUUUGUUUAUGAGAUUAGUCUGCGUUUGAAGCAAAACGCAGGAGCAACAUGUUUGGUAAUGAAAAAACAUCAUUUACUGUUCAUGGACCCCAUUGUUAUUGGCCUUUGCAACGGAGGAUGAGACAAAGUAGCUCUUCGCUGCUUCUGUAGAGAGUGAACAGUGGAGGGUGACUCCACUAUUCCGGCUGGACUGGGUCCGGUUUAAAGUAUGCAUUAAACCAAGUUCGAUCCAGCAAAAUAAAAAAAUUAUUUUUUAUUUUUUAUUGUGUUUUAUUCAAUGUUUAAUAUUAUUCAAUGACAUUACAUAAACUAUAUGGGGAUUGCUUAAUGACGUAGUAUUUGUAGAAUUUAAUUUUAAUCCCACUUAAACUUAUUCUACUGUACACAUAACCCGAUGCUGCGGAUUAUGUUUUUUAUAAAAAAUAUUAAAAAUUUUAGCUGCAAAGCUAUACUAAAAAAUAUUGAGUUUGGCUCCAACACCUAAUCUAAGAGUAAUAUUUAUAAUGUUAAUAAUAAAAUUAAACUUGCAUGACUUAAGUUUAAGUGAGUCUGGCUAAAAGACCAGACCCAAGAAUAUUGGAUGUGAGUCUGGCUAUAAGAUCGUGUUAUAAAAAUAUGAUAAUUAAAUAGAUUAAUUAAAAAAAUAAAAAAAAAUCAACAGAAAGGAAAAAACUAAUAAAGAAAAAGAAAAAAAUUGAAUUAAUUAGGUUAACCCUUUAAACUAGGUUAUCCCGUAAAACCUGAGAUUCACGUCAUGAAAGUUUGAUAAUUAAAUAGAAAAAAAAAAGACUGGUUUACCCAGAAUUAACUGGGUUAACCCAUCAAACCAAGUUAACCCGUCAAGCCUAGGAUACGUGUUAUGAAAGUAUGAAAGUCUGAUAAUUAAAUAAAAAAAAAAUUGACUUUAACAAACUAAACUAAAUGAAAAAAAUAACUCAUCAAAUCAAGUUAACCUAUCAAACCCGAGAUCCGUAUUAUGAAAAUCUGGUAACUAAAUAAAAAAUUAACAUUAACAAACUAAAUCAAACAAAAAUUCAUUAAAAAAAUUAAAAAGAAAAAAAUAGUUAUUAAUAUAAUGUAAUAUAAUAAUAAUAAUAAUAAUAUAUAAUAAUAAGUAAGUAUAUUAGUAAAAGGCAUGACAUGCCCACACGAUGCCGCGGGCUUGUGGCAUGCUUGUACAUUAUCGUGGAUUUGUGAAAAAAAUCAUAUAAAAAAAUAUAGUUAUCAUCCACAAUAUUUUAAAGAAAAAAACUACAAAGCUAUAUUCUCAACCAGUUCAAUAUUAAAAAAACAAAAUCGACAAAAACAAUUAUAAAAAAACACACAAAAAUGAAAACAAGAAGAUGACAAUUUUGGAAGAAAAAAAAAAAAACAAUAAUAAAAAAAAAGGAAAAAAAAACAUGUGGGGAAAGUUAAAGCUAAAUUUUCAAUCAUCUCAAUAUUAAAAUCAUUUAAAAAACAUUGUAACGAUCUAAAGUGUUUUGUGUAAAAAUAUAUAACUAUAAUUGUUAACCAGCUCAAUAUUAAAAAAAUCAAUAAAGAUAAUUUUAAUAGAAAAUAAUUGGAUGUUGACAAGAAGAAGUAGAAAAUGUGGCAAGAAUAACCAAAAGCAGGGAUGAGGAGACAGCAGUGUUGGAUGAGAAAUGGCAAAGGUGAAAGUCUGGUGAUGGUCUUUACUGUUGCUAUUGAUCAAUUCUUCAUUACAUUAAAUGAAGGACGAAUUUUUUGCUUUUAGAAGGUGUGAUGUGUGCUUUAAACAAAAAACCCACCAUACCUCACAUAUUAAAGCGUGUUUAGUAGUAUGAUAAUAGUUACUUUUUAAAUAAUUUUUUAUGUUGAAAUGUAUAUCAAUGAUGUUUUUUUAUUUUUGUUAAAAAUCAUUUUUAAUAUCAGCAUAUUAAAACGAUCCAAAAAAUAUAAACUGUAUUAAAUUUUAAUAAAAAAAAUAAAAAAAACUUUUGAAUUUUUUAAAAACAUAGGUUGAACCGCGUUUCUAAACACUGCCUACGCUCGACUAUUAUAUUGAUUAGGCUCCACACGGUCGAGACUUGACUAGCUGUGCUUACAAUAAAGCAAUUCAAUUUUCAAAGAAGGAACAUGGCUGUGAUUUGAAGACAAGAUUUGUCUGCCGGUGUGAACCCAAACUUUUGUUCAAAAUGUGAGCCAAAAUCCAAUCUAAAUUAAUCUAGUAUAUCAAAAAGUUGUAUUUUUUUUUGUGGUUGUUAUAAUUCUCUCUCAUCAAUUAAAAAUUUUUAAUCUUUAAUAUUGAAUUUUUAGGUUUAAAAAAGGUAAAAAUAACAAGUAAUCAAUUCUUUUUCAUGUUAAUUAUGGUUUGUUUAUGAAAACAUUAAAAAAAAUAAGAUUUAUAAAGAUUUGAAGUUUAUGUUUUUAAAAUAAAUUCAUGAUUAUUAUAAAUUUGAGUUCAAGUGAUUAAUUUUAGAUGUGUUGUUAGAAAUAAGAAUUUGUGAAUUGAUUUGUUUAAUUAAUUUAUUAAGGGUUAAGAAAUUCGCUUCAACUUUGUUAGAAAAUUGGACAAAAUAAUUUUGAGGUUGAAGAUAAAGAAAUUGUAUUUUGGUCCUUGAUUUAUGAAAAUUACAGUGUAAUUCCUAAACAUUGAAAAAUUAUAAUUUGACCUCUAACUGUAUUUUGGGAUUCUGAGUGGUAUUAUUAUGAGGUUAAGGAUAAUGACUCUCAGUUUAAUAAUUGAUUUGGGAUCUUUUCAAUUUGGGCCUUUAAUUUUGAAAGUUUACAUUUUAGUCCCUGAUCUUUAAAGAAAUGAUAGUUCGGUCCUUGGUUCAUUUCUAGAUAGAAUUGAAAAUGGUUUGUUGGUAAAAUUUCAGUAUGGUUAUGUAUUUACAAUUUGCUCCUCCAAUUUUGGCAAAAUUUUGUUUUGGUUCGUGAUUUCUAAAAAAUAUCGUUUUAGUCCUUAAACUCAUAAGAAUAAACCUGUUUUAUUUUAUGCAUUGAAAUAUUUUAUUUGUUGUUUUGGGUUGUUUUUUAGUAUAUUCUAUAUAUUUUUUUAUAAGCUCCUAACAAUCAUCAAUAAAAUUGCCAUAGCUUGUUUUCGAAUGGAGAAUAAUUGGAUGCUGACAAGAAGUAGAAUAGGUGCAAGGAUAACCAAAAGCAGGGGUGUAAGCAAGAAAUGGCAUGUGUUGAGAAGACAGAGCAGUGUGAGAUGAGAAAUGGCAAAGGUAAAAGUGUUUGGUGAUGAGCUUUUCUUCUGCUAUCGAUCAAUUCUUCAUUACAUUAGUGAUUAAUAAUGUGGUGGUUCAAUUUUAUUAAGAUAUUAAAACUGCUGUCCCUGACUAUAUUGAAUAGGCUCCACACAGUUCAGACUACAUUUCAGACUUGACUAGCUAUGCUUACAAUAAAGCAAUUGAAGUUUCAAAGAAGGAACAUGGCUGUGAUUUGAAGACCGAAUUUGUCUACUUGAAUUGCCUUGUUUGUUAGCAAACGUCUUCUUCUCUAAGCUCAGUUUUUUUUUAUCAGUGUCCAGUGGCCUUCGGUGACCCCAUAACCAUGCAGCCAAGCUGCGCACUGGCCAGACCCUCGGAAGUCGGAAACACCAAUAUCUUCCAGCGCUAGUGAAUGCAAGUUGCCCAAGAUUGUAAAUGCAAGCGCAGAAACAAGUGCACCAGCCAUGUUCUCUUCUGAAGUGAAAAUGGGAACUGACACGGGUAAGAUAAAUGUUUUCCGACUAAGGUUAUUUUUCUUUUCUUUUAUGACAAGGAGAUAAGAUGAAGAAUGAUUCAAUGUCGCAAAAUCGACAAGAUCAAAAGGGUUCUAAAAUUAGAAGUGUAAGAUCAAAUGUAGGAAUUAGUUUACUUCGAAGGCACAACAGUCUUUGGAACAAAAAAAAAAAAAAAACUUGAUUACCCCAGAGACAGGACAACCAAGAACACACCAGUACGGCAUCCAUGGAGCUAUUUAACAUCUUUCUGUAUGCAGCAAGGUGGUCAUGGCCAUACCUGGUUUUGUUUCGAAGUUUUGAACCUCCAGAACCAUAUUUAUUUGAACAUUUAUGUUUACUCAAAUGGAAAAUCUAGACAGCAAACUUUAAUUUACAAUGCACUAGUGAACAGCCCUUCAUAAUCUGGAAAACAAUGUAAAUGCUAUUAUUAAUUGUUUCACCUUACUAACAAUUGACAGUUGCAAUUGAAAAUUUAACAGAAUGCUUAGGAACCUGAUGUUCUAUUUUUAGGGACUCCAAGAUCGAAGAACAGUGCACAGUGAACAUUUCUUUCCCGGAUUUAAUUCAAACCAAUGUGUUGCCAUCCAAUUAAUCUGGUAAUUAAAGAAGAAAGAAGGGUUCUUGAAUAACAAGAACAACAACAGAAGAAAAGAAACAGAGAGAAAGAGAAACUUUUAGUAACAUUCAACACUUAGUAUUUUUUUUUAAAAAACAAAAUUAACAUUCAACUCAAACCAUUAACGUUGGUUUUUUUUUUUUUUUUCCCUGAAUCACAGAAUAUCUUGUCCCAGCUUUCACGUACUAAACCAAGUCUUUACAGCCUGGAACCGAUCUUUACACAGUGUUAAGCCCCACAGCUCGCGGCCCUAUAAGAUUUGAUGCUAGAAAAAUUCAAACUGAAGAUCUGAAGAGAGUAAACCUCCAAGCCCACCAUUAAGUUCCACUAGACUAACCCCUCGAAGUUACCAUUUACAUUGUCUGCUUGCUAUUCAUACAUCAUUCAUGGUCAACUCAAUAUUUCACUAAUUUUCAUUUUAAAAAUAUUGGGAGAUAUGUCAAAUUCAUAUUGAUUAUAAUUUUAGAAAAAAAAAAAAAAAAAAAAGCAGUUAGAAUGAAUUGAUUGAAAAAGCAUCACUUAUUAGUUUCAUAGAUUGUAUUGCAGAAGAUAUUAAAUAAAAACAAAACACAAUACGCCUUCGACACCGAACUGCAAAUUACCUGGGAAUCUGAGCGAACGAAUCUGACGCCCUUGCCAGGAUAUGUCUUCGCCCCACUGAACCGGCAAAGUUCAGUCCUGAAAUCAUCCAGACCAGACAAGUUUAAUGCUCGUCAUGAUAACAUAUUGAAAACCUCAGAUGAGAUCAUUUGCAUAUAAAAAUGCUUCAUUCCAAGCCAUAUAAGUUUGAUGGUUAACAAUGGUGUCUCGAUGAGGUUAUUCGCACGGUCAUGACGAAUAUUCUCAGAGGUACAUCAGAUCCUAAAACCCCUUGGCAGACGCCCAAAAACCCUUUCAAGUGUCACAUAAUUUAUUUUUCUAGAAUUUAAUUUCUAAAAAAAAUUACUUUUCAAUAAAUAAAGAGGGAUUUAACUAACACCUCCCGAGUCCUAACGGAUAUUAUGGACCCGUAGGGUACAUAUUGCCCCUCAUGAUCUUGCUUUCUUCUUUUAGGGCCCGCAUGUUGAUAUUCACCAUCUUGGGCACUUCCGUUCUCCAUUGCCAGAGACGUUCGAGGCAGUGAAGCUCCCCAUCCCGCAUUAACGGUGGUUCUUCCCAUGAUGUUCUUCUAACUUUUUCCAGGUCCUGAGAAAAUAAGCUUGCAAAAAGUGAAGGUUAUAAAAUUGUCAUUCAGUAUCUUCCAGUUGAUGAAUAAUACUUACAUCUCGUCUCGUAAUUAGACGUAAUGUAUAUAACGUGGCAUUAGUUAAUUGGAAUUAAAAUAGAUUGUUUUAAAAAAAUCACUAGCAGAAUGACAUAUAAUAUUUUUAUUAGUUAUAUAAUAAGAUUUCUGAAAAAAAUACUGACAAAAUAAAACAUGUAAUUUUUUUUUGCAUGCUUUUCUGUCAAUAAAUUCAUCGAUAAUAAUAUUUUUUUAUUACAAACAAAUAAAAAUUUUUGAUUAAAGAUUCACUGAUAAGGUAUUUUUAUCUAUAAUUUUGUCAAUAAAUUAAUUACUAAUAAAAUAAUAACACAAAUACUAAUAAAAAAAAAUUCAUUAAUAAAUAUAAAAAUUUUAAUAGUGGAUAGGGGCCUGGUAGAGCUCAUGUCUUGACAAAGUCUAAAAAUGACAAGUGACAAGUUGACAACUUGUCAAAUUCAUAUACAUCUUGGUUGAGUAGCCAAAAAAAAACCAAUAAAUGCUGAUGUAUCAGUUUUAGUAAAAAAAAAACUUAUAACGUAGCUCGCGCUACAUUGCAGGUCAAUUUUUUUAUAUAAAAAAUAUUUAAAAAAGUUAAAAUUUUAAAGUGUUAGGUUUUUUUACAAAGUUAUACUUAAGAGCAUUGGGUCUAUCUAUUACUCCUAAUCCAAAAGUUAUAUUAAUAAUAAUAUUAAACUUGCAUGAUCCAAGUUUAAGUGAGUUUGGUUGCAACAUCAAACCUGAAGCCUUUGAUAUGAGUCUGGUUGCAAGAUUUUAUUAUAAAAAUGUGAUAAUUAAAAAGAAUAAAAAAUUAAUAUCACAGAAUAAAUAAAAAAUUAAUUGGAAAGAAAAAAAACAAUAAAGCAAAGCAUUAUUUCGAUGAAUAGUGCCUUGCAAGGAGGGGUACAGUAAAAUCCCCUCAUGAGAUCACAAUAAUUUAAUGACAAACAAAACAAAUUAUAAAUUUUAAUUCUUAAUCAAAUCGAUAUUAAAAAAAUGAAAUUGAAAGAAAAAAACUACUUAAGAAAAGGAAAAAGAAAAAUCUUAAUUAAUUGGUUUAACCCGUCAAACCUGAGAUUCGUGUCAUAAAAUUGAAAGAAAAAAGAAUGAUGUCUUUUAGUUAUAGUUAAUUACAAUAUUUAAAGAUGAAAUCGGAAGAAAAAACUAAUAAAGUAAAAGAAAAAAAAAUAUGAAUCAACUGGAUUGGCCCACCAAAUCAGGUUAACCCAUCAGACCUGAGAUCGUGUCAUGAGAGUGUGAUAACUAAAUAAAAAAAAAUUAACAUUAAUAAAAUAAAAUGAACAAAAAAAAGAUUAAUUAAAAAGAAAAAAAAGGAAAAAAAAAACCUACAUGAAGAAAAAGAAAAAAAAUCUGAAUUAACUGGGUUAACCCGUCAAACGAGGUUAAUCCGUCAAACCUGGGAUUCGUGUUAUGAAAGUUUGAUAACUAAAUAGAAAAAAACUUAAUAUUAACAAAAUAAAUUUUAAAAAAUAUAAUUAAAAAAAAAAGCAAAAAUACUAAACAAAAAAAAUAUUAAUUUAAAAAAAAAACAAAGAAAGAAAAGUCUGCAUGAAGAAAAAAACUAAUGAAGAAAAAGAAAAAAAAAUCCUAAUUAACUGGGUUAACCCUUCAAACCAAGUUAACUCGUCAAAUCUGGGAUUCGUGCCAUGAAUGUUUGAUAACUGAAUAGAAAAAAAAAAAUUUACGUUUUAACCUAGAAUUAGCUAGGUUAAUUCAUCAAACCCAGAAUCCGUGUCAUGAAAGUUUGAUAGCCAAAUAGAGAAAAUUUAACAUUAACAAACUAAAUUAAAUGAAAAAAUAAUUAAAAAGAAAAAUCAGAAAAAAUUCAGGUUAACGCGUCAAACCCAGGACCCAUGUAAUGAAAUUUUGAUAACUAAAUAAAAAAAAUUUAACAUUAAUAAAAAAAAUUAAACAAAAAAAAUAUUCAUUAAAAAAAACAAAAAAAACAAAACAACUUAAAAAAAACAAAGCAAAAGGCAAAAAAAAAAAACAGCUUAAAAAAGCAAAGCAAGCAAAAAAUAAAAGACAGAUAAGCGUUUCACUGUGGAUUGCAUUCGAAAAAAUUAAUUAAAAAGAAAAAUCAGGAAAAAAAAACCAGAUUAACCCAUCAAAUCCAAAACCUAUAUCAUAAAAAAUUGAUAAUUAAAUAGAAAAAAAAUUAACAUUAACAGAAAAACUCAUUCAUUAAAAAAAACAGCUUAAAAAAACAAAGAAAAGGAAAAAAAUAGUAAAAAAAACAAAGUAAAAACCAAAAAAAUUAAUAAAAAAAAGAAGAAGACAGAUGAGCUUUUUAUGUGGAUUGCUACAGUAAAAAACCGAUCCUUUUAGUAUAUUUCUAAUACCAGCAUUUAGAACCCUAUCGGACAUUCAAUUAAGUUUUAUUUGCGAAAUUGAACAAGCUUUUAAAAGCUAAUUUAAACACAUAAACGCAACAUUAAGGAAAAAAUUAUCAUUUAAUAAUGAUAAAACAUCACAAACAUAACGCAAGAAGUCAAAUGACUUCCUCGAAGCAAAUUUAUCAAACUUGGCCUGGGUUGACAGGUCGACCUGCGACCUGUUUACCCGGGCUUUCAAACUGGAUUGGAAAUUAAUUUUGUUAAACAAAGGUGAUAUGUUCUAUCAAUUAAUUUUUUUAAAUAAAAAACAACUUCGUUUAUUUAUGUUUAUUUAAUUAUUUAUACCUUUUAUAUCUAAACGAGCCUGGACUUAGAUCGAAUCAGAUGACGAGCCUGGUCUGAUAACUUAGCCUUGAAGUUUAUUCUGUUAGAUCAUUAUUGUUUGCUGUGUUAGGCAACAGAUAUCCCUCUAUUCAUACUCAGCUUAAUUUUUCAAUUUCGACUUUUAAAAAUAUGGAGAGAUAUAUGUCAAAUUCCUAUCGGUUCUGAUUUUAAGGAAAAAUAAAAAUUUAUUAAGAAUUAAAAAAAUGCUAUUUUUUAUAUAAUUUGAAAAAAAUAUUUUAAACUUUAUUUUAUAAAGCUAAAAAAUUACUAAAAAAUAUAUUUAAUUUAUAUUCAUGUAUACAAUACUUGUUAAUUUAUUUAAUACUUGUUAAUUUAUUUUUUAACUUUAUUUAAAGCCAACAAUGAUUAAAAAAUAUAUUUAAUUUUUAUAACACUUUUUUAUGUAUUCAUCAAAAUUUUCAUGAAAAAUUAAAUUGAAAAAUCAUGGCUAUGAAAAAACAAAAAUACUCAUUUACUCCCUCAAAUAUGUUUCAUCAGUAAAUCCAUAAUUUUUCUUCGCUGAAUAUCAUUAGAUUUUCAUAAAAAUAUAUUAUUAUAAAAGUGAACAUCUUAGUGAUUUUUUAAAAUUUUAUUAUUAUUUUUAGAGUUCUUAAUAAAAUUUUCUUUAAAUUAGAACCAAUAGAAAUCUAACUCGUGUUCUUCCAUAUCUUUAAAAGACAAAAUUAAUGAAAUAUUACGUUUACUCUGAACAGAGAGAUCUAUACUGCCUAGUAGACAAAAUCAUAGAAACCCAAUUAUAUAAAUUUAAACCAUAAGGAUAUCUUUAUCAAAUAUCAAUAUAUCAGAGAGAUUCAUAGUACCAUCAAACCAAAGUUAUACCUAAACUUGUCAUGCAAUAAAACACGUGCAUAUUCAUACAAUAAAAAUAAUAAAUAGACGUAUUUCUCCCUUUCUAUUACAAAGAUCAUUGCAAUACUUAGUAGAUGCAAACGGAAGGGAUGUGAGCUAUCUUAGGCCAGUCCUCUCCUCGCUCCUUCGAGCACCUUUUCUUCAAAUUUGGACAAUGGUUAAUCAUCAAGUGGCUGAGGUUGCUGAGACUCUGUAGCCCUUCUGGCAAACAUACCAAAUUAGGGCAAUCCUGAAUUUCCAGGCGUGAAAGGGAUAUGAGAUAACCAAUCUGAUUUGGCAAGGAAGUUAAUCCCUUGCAUUCAUAGAGUCUUAGAGAUCGGAGAGAAGUAAGAUGUUGGAUACUCUUUGGCAAUGAAUUCAGCUCUGGACAAAGUUCAAGCUCCAAGAUUUCAAGUGCCGUCAGAUAUUGCACUCCCUCGGACAGAGACACAAAUUUAUCACAAUUUCUAACAGAUAACCUACGAAGAGAAGAUAAGCCGGACAACCCAUUCAUUGGCAGAGUGUAUAAUCUUGUACAACUAUUUAUCUGUAAAACCUCCAAAGAAGUGAGUUUUCGAAGACCUUCCUCUGGCAAGCUUUCAAGUUCAUAACAAUGCUGGAUACUCAAGCUUUUAAGAGCUGAAAGGUUGUCAAAUACCUUAUUUGACAAAGACGAUAGAUUUCUCAUCCCAACCAUACAUAAGGACUCGAGGAGUGUAUGAUUUUGCAAGAACCCAUCUGGAAUCAGCCUCGCAUCAAUCCUUGCAAUAAAAAGGUAUGUGAUAGAAGUAAAUUUCAUAACUGACAUCAGUAACGAAACAUUGCCUUCAGUGAUGUGUAAGCUUUUGACGGAAGGUAUAAUUGGUAUUUCGGUCAACAAGGGGCAAAGAACUACAGAUAAUGCUUUAAGACGAGGAAAACUACACGGAGCCCAUUGCUCUAGUCUCUCCAUUGAAAUAAAUGUCAGGCUCUCCAAAGAUGGGAAUGGAUUUUGCUCAUCUCCAUACACAUGGCUGUCAAUACACUUCACACCAUCCAUUCCAUCUAGUUCAAGAUUCUUGAGGAACUGUAAUUUCCCAAAUGGUGGAAGUUGUUCACAGUUGCCACAUGCUGUUAGCUUCAUCUCUACUAGAUUCGGUAGCAUCAAGUUCAAGUUCAUCAUCCACUUUGGAAAUUUUGAACCCCCAUAUCCAAUUAAUCUCAAUUUCUUCAGAUUUGAAUGAGGUUGAAGCCCAUCAAGGACAUCCUCAUUACUUUCAGCUGAUUGCACACAAGUAAAAGGGCGGCGACCUCCAUUCUCAUUCCAAGAUAAAUUCAGUGAUAGAAGAGUUGUCUUCAACUUCAAAUUGGCACUUCUGGCAUCUGUUAAAUUCUUAACAUUAACAAGAUCUGUGAUGCUUAGUUCACCAGCAAGAUUAUUCAGCCUUUCUAGCUCCCCUAAGUGACGACCAUCCUCCUUACCCACAAUGAACAGGCCAAGUUUUCGCAGGCAUAUUAAUUGUCCCAUUCCAAAUGGCAUAAAUCGAAGUGAAUCACAGCCCGUGAUGUCAAGAUAGAUGAGACUUUUCAUAUGCUUCAUACCUCUAGGUAAUUGGAUGAGCCGUGUACAAUGACUCAGAUUUAGUGUCUGUAGAUUUUGGAGCGAGGUGAUUGAUGCAGGCAAUUUUUUAAUGUGGGAAUUGGAGACAUCUAGAAACCUUAGAUGUUUCAAAUAACAAAUUGACUUUGGCAAUG
rnacentral:lncRNA from 1 species